rnacentral:rRNA from 1 species
AGAGAGUUCAGAGUGCGUGAAACCGUUCGGAGGUAAACGGGUGGGAGCGCGAAGGUCGAACGGAUGGGAUGGGAUUCAAUCAGGCGUGGCGGCGUCCCCUGGCUGGCGCUCGUAGUCCUCGGUUUCGGCCGUUUGGGACCUCGGCGUUUCGGACUGGGCGAAUUGCCGCCUCCGCCUGGUGCAUUUCCCGUAUUCCCCUCUCCUAGUAGGACGCCGUGACCGGCUGCUGAGGAGAGCCCAGGAGCUGGCGGGGGUAGCUGCGCGGACGAGUAUGGGAUUCGUUCCCUGCGUCCGGUCUGUCUGCCCCCCGCCUGUGUAGCGGGCGCUCUCUCCGGCCGAGAAAUGCUGUGCGAGGAGCAAUCCUCGUCCAAGCGCGUGCCCUCGAUCUGUCGGUGCGGGUCUAUAGAUCCCAACGGGUGGCGGCCGGAGGCCGCUGGCCAGCCUCGAGCUGUGUUCCAGCGGUCUCUGUGCGUCAGCUGCCGUCGGUCAGGGUGCGGACUCCCGCAUUUGGGGCGCUAGGGGUCAACGGCGAGUAGGUCGGUUUCCCACCCGACCCGUCUUGAAACACGGACCAAGAAGUCUAACGUGUGGGCGAGUCUUCGGGGACUUUGUGAACCCUUUGAAGGCGCAAUAAAAGUGAAGGUCUGUCUGCUGGGGGUUUUCUCUCGGCGGCAGACUGCAGUGGGAUCCCCCGUCUAAGGGCGGGGGCGCACCACUGGCCCGUCCUAUGACCGCUUCGCCGGUCGGGCGGAGCAAGAGCCCACGCGUUGGGACCCGAAAGAUGGUGAACUAUGCCUGGGCAGGACGAGGCCAGAGGAAACUCUGGUGGAAGUCCGCAGCGGU